CACUGUGGUGAGCAGACAGGGAGGGGAAAAUAAUGGAGCGCCUGCACAACCCACUGUGAGCCGGCAGAUGUGCUGGCUCCCACUCCUCCGGCCUGGCCGCACUCUCCGGGCACCUGCCACAGGAGCUGGGGGCUGCAGCCUCGACCGGGGUUUGGGAAGGGGCAGAAACAGCGUGGUGCCCCAAAGGGGAGGGUUCAAGGAGAAAAAAGAAUAAGAAGAAAGGCAGAGCCCUGUCCUUGGAAUGCAAUGCAUGGGCACCACGGUGGGCUGGGCCUCAGCCUCUCACCUAGAUAUCUGAGCACCUGUCCGUCUGGGCCAUCAGCGGCUGCUCAGGACUGCCCGCUUUGUUUCAGUGCUUCGGGUCCAGCAAAUGUCCUGUCAUUACCAGCUCCACUGGCAGCCUACAGAACAAUGGAUGAGCGGAUCUACGUGUACUUUUCAGCCAGAUGUUACAGCCCCAGCAACACCUGGAAAAGCGGCAGGGCAGAGAGCAGGUGACCUUCAAACAUGGGCUGAGCCGCCUAGCUGCUGAGCCGCAGGUAUCCAUCCACUGCUGCGUCCAUGGAGCUCCUCUGUCCACCACAGCUGCUUACGGAAGAGACGCCAACCUCCCCCGCCUACAGCUGCAGGGCUCCAACAGAACCAUCUGUUAGGGCAUGAAGAGCUCCACGUGUGUGGGACGUUGAGUAAACCAGAGAUCCUUUGCCACCUUUCCCACUGCAGGUACCUUCCCUUCCACGUGUCCUCACCCUGAGGGCCUCUGAGAAUCAGAGACAGGCAAAUGCUCCAGCCUCUCUCUGGCUCAGGCAUCGCCCACUCAGCUCCUGUCAGGCUGGCCUGGUGAUGCUUCCUUGUCUGUGAGCAGUGAGAAUAAAUUCCAAAUUUGAAAGGUCCUUCAGAGAUAUAACAGCAUUGUGUGUGAUGAACCAAGCAGAGAACUGGGACACAAGGAUCAUGUGGGCACACUGCCUUCCGGACGACUGGGCAACCCAGCCUCACAGAAGCAGUGUCUGGGCUGAGGGCAAAAGUUACAACAUCAACAACAUCCCUGCUCGGAGAA